GGACCCGACUGCUAUCAGAGUGGGACUAAGCCAUGCGAGUCAACAUAGCAAUAUGUGGCAUACGGCUCAGUAACACGUAGUCAACAUGCCCAGGGGACGUGGAUAACCUCGGGAAACCGAGGAUAAACCGCGAUAGGUCAUCACCUCUGGAAUGGGUAAUGACUUAAACCUAUAUGGCCCCUGGAUUGGACCGCGGCCGAUCAGGCUGUUGGUGAGGUAAUGGCCCACCAAACCUGUAACCGGUACGGGCUCUGAGAGGAGGAGCCCGGAGAUGGGCACUAAGACAAGGGCCCAGGCCCUAUGGGGCGCAGCAGGCGCGAAACCUCUGCAAUAGGCGAAAGCUUGACAGGGUUACUCUGAGUGAUUUCCGUUAAGGAGAUCUUUUGGCACCUCUAAAAAUGGUGCAGAAUAAGGGGUGGGCAAGUCUGGUGUCAGCCGCCGCGGUAAUACCAGCACCCCGAGUGGUCGGGACGUUUAUUGGGCCUAAAGCAUCCGUAGCCGGUUCUACAAGUCUUCCGUUAAAUCCACCUGCUUAACAGAUGGGCUGCGGAAGAUACUAUAGAGCUAGGAGGCGGGAGAGGCAAGCGGUACUCGAUGGGUAGGGGUAAAAUCCGUUGAUCCAUUGAAGACCACCAGUGGCGAAGGCGGCUUGCCAGAACGCGCUCGACGGUGAGGGAUGAAAGCUGGGGGAGCAAACCGGAUUAGAUACCCGGGUAGUCCCAGCUGUAAACGAUGCAGACUCGGUGAUGAGUUGGCUUAUUGCUAACUCAGUGCCGCAGGGAAGCCGUUAAGUUUGCCGCCUGGGGAGUACGGUCGCAAGACUGAAACUUAAAGGAAUUGGCGGGGGAGCACCACAAGGGGUGAAGCCUGCGGUUCAAUUGGAGUCAACGCCGGAAAUCUUACCGGGGGCGACAGCAGAGUGAAGGUCAAGCUGAAGACUUUACCAGACAAGCUGAGAGGAGGUGCAUGGCCGUCGCCAGCUCGUGCCGUGAGGUGUCCUGUUAAGUCAGGUAACGAGCGAGAC
rnacentral:rRNA from 1 species